rnacentral:piRNA from 1 species
UCNCUGCUGCCACUAAGGGCCAUGAUGU